rnacentral:lncRNA from 1 species
GAUGGACUGCUAAAGUCUGAGCUGAUGGACUGCUCAAGUCCAAGCUGAUGGAUUGUUAAAGUCAAGGCUGAUGGAUUGUUAAAGUCAAGUCCAAGCUGAUGGAUUGUUAAAGUCCAAACUGAUGGAUCGUUAAAGUCCAAACUGAUGGAUCGCUUAAAUCCCAACUAAUGGACUGCUAAAGUCUAAACUGAUGGAUUGCUUAAGUCUGAAUUGGUGGACUGCUAAAGUUUGAACUGAUGGACUGCUGAAGUCGAAAGUGAUGGAUAUGGUUAGGAAAAGAAGUACAAAACUAUUGAAAUAUUUUUCUAAGUAAGAUCUUCCAGGAAAAACUUAAUAUAUCAUACCUUUCUAAUCU